rnacentral:rRNA from 1 species
UACGGAGGUGGCAAGCGUUGUCCGGAUUUACUGGGCGUAAAGAGCGCGCAGGCGGCUGGUCAAGUCCGAUGUGAAAUCUCCCGGCUUAACUGGGAAACUGCAUCGGAAACUGAUCGGCUUGAAGGUGGGAGAGGGUAGUGGAAUUCCCGGUGUAGUGGUGAAAUGCGUAGAUAUCGGGAGGAACACCAGUGGCGAAGGCGACUACCUGGCCCAUUCUUGACGCUGAGGCGCGAAAGCUAGGGGAGCGAACGGG